UGGUUGUCAGACGAUAACUCAAGAACGCUUGGGCCUAGGAUCAUGAAACUUCAUGGGUAGAUUGAUCAUGACUCGCAGAUGACCCCUAUUGAUUUUGAGGUCACUAGGUCAAAGGUCAAGGUCACGGUGACCCGAAAUAGUAAAAUGGUUUCCGGAUGAUAACUCAAGAAUGCAUACGCCUAGGAUCAUGAAACUUCAUGGGUAGAUUGAUCAUGACUCGCAGAUGACCCCUAUUGAUUUUGAGGUCACUAGGUCAAAGGUCAAGGUCACGGUGACCCGAAAUAGUAAAAUGGUUUCCGGAUGAUAACUCAAGAACGCAUACGCCUUGGAUCAUGAAACUUCAUGGGUAGAUUGAUCAUGACUUGCAGAUGACCCCUAUUGAUUUUGAGGUCACUAGGUCAAAGGUCAAGGUCACGGUGACCCGAAAUAGUAAAAUGGUUUCCGGAUGAUAACUCAAGAAUGCAUACGCCUAGGAUCAUGAAACUUCAUGGGUAGAUUGAUCAUGACUCGCAGAUGACCCCUAAUGAUUUUGAGGUCACUAGGUCAAAGGUCAAGGUCACGGUGACCCGAAAUAGUAAAAUGGUUUCCGGAUGAUAACUCAAGAAUGCAUAUGCCUAGGAUCAUGAAACUUCGUGGGUAGAUUGAUCAUGACUCGCAGAUGACCCCUAUUGAUUUUGAGGUCACUAGGUCAAAGGUCAAGGUCACGGUGACCCGAAAUAGUAAAAUGGUUUCGGGAUGAUAACUCAAUAAUGCAUACGCCUAGGAUCAUGAAACUUCAUGGGUAGAUUGAUCAAGACUCGCAGAUGACCCCUAUUGAUUUUGAGGUAACUAGGUCAAAGGUCAAGGUCACGGUGACCCGAAAUAGUAAAAUGGUUUUCGGAUGAUAACUCGAGAACGCAUAUGCCUAGGAUCAUGAAACUUCAUAGUUCGAUUGAUCAUGACUCGCAGAUGACCCCUAUUGAUUUUGAGGUCACAAGGUCAAAGGUCAAGGUCACGGUGACCCGAAAUAGUAAAAUGAUUUUCGGAUGAUAACUCAAGAACGCUUAUGCCUACGAUCAUGACACUUCAUAGGUAAAUUGAUCGUGACUCGCAGAUGACCCCUAUUGAUUUUCAGGUCACUAGGUCAAAGGUCAAGGUCACAGUGACAAAAAACGUAUUCACACAAUGGCUGCCACUACAACGGACAGCCCAUAUGGGGGGCAUGCAUGUUUUACAAACAGCCCUUGUUUAAAUUUUUUGCCAAUUUACCAAAACGUGAAAAGGCUCCUUUAAUCAAAUUUAUGUAAGUCAUUAUGUAGAAACACGUAUAACGAUGUGCGUUGUAACUUCAUUUUAAAACGUGUUGGCAUUAAUACGAAUUCCAAUACAUAUUAAAUGACGAAAAUAUUAA